rnacentral:lncRNA from 1 species
CGAGCUCUUAUGCGUUUGAAUGGUGUCCUACACACUCACUAGGUACGUUAGCCCUUCUUUAGGCCUCAUUCAGCCCAUAAGGUCAUAAAAUAACUCAAUUUACACUUUUUAUUGAAUUAAAGAUAAAAUACAAAAAGUAACUAAAACAUAAUAAAAUUCCUCAUAUUCAAGCUCUUUAAGUGCGAAAACUAGUGUAAUCUGCCAC